UUUGAUUUUUGUUUGGGAAGAGAUUGACAACAACAACAACGAUUCUUAUUCCUCUAAAAAAACAACGAUUCAUAUAGCUGCAUAAAUGGUACAAGGGGAAGUCACGUUUGAGAAGAAGGGAGAAGGAAAGAUGCAGUUUUUGUUUUGCAACUGGACAAGAAAGAGAAGCCACGCUUGAGAAGAAGGGGAAAUUAAUCAUAUGGUUUUAGUAUAUUUUAAAGUUGAAAGCAUCUUAGCCGUUGGAUUUAAUCGGAUGGUUGUUAAUUACUCCUCUCAUCUCUCACUAUAACAACUCCUCUCAUUUGAUAU
rnacentral:lncRNA from 1 species